CUAGCGCGGUGGUCCCACCUGACCCCAUGCCGAACUCAGAAGUGAAACGCCGUAGCGCCGAUGGUAGUGUGGGGCCUCCCCAUGCGAGAGUAGGGAACUGCCAGGC
rnacentral:rRNA from 1 species